CUACGGGGUGCUCCAGUGGGGAAUAUUGGGCAAUGGACGGAAGUCUGACCCAGCAACGCCGCGUGGAGGAUGACGCAUUUCGGUGUGUAAACUCCUUUUAUCAGAGAAGAUAAUGACGGUAUCUGAUGAAUAAGCACCGGCUAACUCCGUGCCAGCAGCCGCGGUAAUAGCGGAGGGUGCAAGCGUUACUCGGAAUCACUGGGCGUAAAGGGUGCGUAGGCGGAUUAGUAAGUCUUGUGUGAAAUCCUACGGCUUAACCGUAGAACUGCAUGGGAAACUGCUAAUCUAGAGUGUGAAAGAGGCAGGUGGAAUUAGUGGUGUAGGGGUAAAAUCCGUAGAUAUCACUAGGAAUACCGAUGGCGAAGGCGACCUGCUGGAGCAUAACUGACGCUGAGGCACGAAAGCGUGGGGAGCAAACAGGAUUAGAUACCCGUGUAGUC
rnacentral:rRNA from 1 species